rnacentral:rRNA from 1 species
UACGUAGGGUGCGAGCGUUGUCCGGAAUUAUUGGGCGUAAAGGGCGCGUAGGCGGCUAUUCAAGUGGCGGGUGAAAUCCCUCGGCUUAACCGGGGAACUGCGUCCGAUACUGGUUGGCUUGAGUUUGGGAGAGGGAUGCGGAAUUCCAGGUGUAGCGGUGAAAUGCGUAGAUAUCUGGAGGAACACCGGUGGCGAAGGCGGCAUCCUGGACCAAUACUGACGCUGAGGAGCGAAAGCCAGGGGAGCAAACGGG